CACGUAGUUAGCCGUGGCUUUCUGGUUAAGUACCGUCAUCUCAAGGCCGGUUACUACCUCAAGUGUUCUUCCUUAACAACAGAGUUUUACGAGCCGAAACCCUUCAUCACUCACGCGGCGUUGCUCCGUCAGACUUGCGUCCAUUGCGGAAGAUUCCCUACUGCUGCCUCCCGUAGGAGUCUGGGCCGUGUCUCAGUCCCAGUGUGGCCGAUCCACCCUCUCAGAUCGGCUAUGCAUCGUCGCCUUGGUGAGCCACUAUCUCACCAACUAGCUAAUGCCACCGCAGGCCCAUCCAUGAGCGGCAGAUAAACUCCGACCUUUUUAACUACUGCUUAUGCAGGUAAACUCGUAUCCGGUAUUACGCUUACGUUCCGGUAGUUACUCCAAUCUACGAAGGGUUAGUCGCCUAGUGUUACUCACCCGUCGCCGCUCGACUCAGUGA
rnacentral:rRNA from 1 species